rnacentral:lncRNA from 1 species
UGGGCGUCACUGGUAAGUCUUGUGUGGACGAGGCGCGUUUUUGGCGUAUUGAAUUUUAAACCUGAUGCCUUUUGUUAUCUAUUAUUCAUGUGUUUCUUUGCCUAAUACGUUCUCCUAUUUAUUUGUAUUGUAGUCCUGUAAUAUUAUGUUGUCAUUUUAAUGUUAUAUUUAACAUUGCCAUUAAAGUGCGAGGUUUGGCAUACCACAAAACCAGGUUCAACCCACCAUUUUUUUUCUCUUUAAAAAUGUCCUGUACCAAGUCAGGAAAAUGGCCAUUGUUAUAUCAUAGUUC